AGUGAACGCUGGCGGCAGGCCUAACACAUGCAAGUCGAACGGCAGCACGGCAGUAGCAAUACUGUGGGUGGCGAGUGGCGGACGGGUGAGGAAUACAUCGGGAUCUACCCUGUUGUGGGGGAUAACGUAGGGAAACUUACGCUAAUACCGCAUAAGAACUGAGGUUGAAAGCGGCGGACCGCAAGGCGUCGCGCGAUUGGAUGAACCGAUGUCCGAUUAGCUAGUUGGCGGGGUAAAGGCCCACCAAGGCGACGAUCGGUAGCGGGUCUGAG
rnacentral:rRNA from 1 species